ACUGAACGCUGGCGGCAGGCUUAACACAUGCAAGUCGAGCGGGGGAAGGUAGCUUGCUACCGGACCUAGCGGCGGACGGGUGAGUAAUGCUUAGGAAUCUGCCUAUUAGUGGGGGACAACAUCUCGAAAGGGAUGCUAAUACCGCAUACGUCCUACGGGAGAAAGCAGGGGAUCUUCGGACCUUGCGCUAAGAGAUGAGCCUAAGUCGGAUUAGCUAGUUGGUGGGGUAAAGGCCUACCAAGGCGACGAUCUGUAGCGGGUCUGAGAGGAUGAGCCGCCACACUGGGACUGAGACACGGCCCAGACUCCUACGGGAGGCAGCAGUGGGGAAUAUUGGACAAUGGGGGGAACCCUGAUCCAGCCAUGCCGCGUGUGUGAAGAAGGCCUUAUGGUUGUAAAGCACUUUAAGCGAGGAGGAGGCUACUUUAGUUAAUACCUAGAGAUAGUGGACGUUACUCGCAGAAUAAGCACCGGCUAACUCUGUGCCAGCCGCCGCCGUAA
rnacentral:rRNA from 1 species